UACGUAGGGUGCGAGCGUUUAAUCGGAAUUACUGGGCGUAAAGGGUGCGCAGGUGGCCGCGCAUGUCGAGUGUGAAAUCCCCGGGCUUAACUUGGGAAUUGCGCUCGAAACUACGUGGCUCGAGUGUGGCAGAGGAAGGUGGAAUUCCACGUGUAGCAGUGAAAUGCGUAGAGAUGUGGAGGAAUACCGAUGGCGAAGGCAGCCCCCUGGGCCAAUACUGACGCUCAUGCACGAAAGCGUGGGGAGCAAACAGG
rnacentral:rRNA from 1 species